GCUCUGGUUGGAUUAUUUUUGAAGGGUAGUCGGCAAUCAAAUGAACGCGUAGAAGACGUUGGCAUCCGUGACUCCCUCUUCGUUCCCUCUCCCUAUCGAAACCUUCGUUUCCUCUCCCCAGCGGUCAAGACGUUGGCAUCCUCUCCUUGGCGGUCGAGCCCAUCAUUCUUUCCUCUCGGCGCACUCGCUAGCGGUAUCCUUCCUCUCACUUCCUCUCCUUGGAGGUAUCCUUCCUCUCGGCACUCUCGCUGCAUGUCGUCCCCUCUGCCUAGGGUUCAAUCCGCCUAGGGUCCAAUCCCUCGAUCGGUCUCAGCAACUAGCCAACCUCAAUCUACAAAAGCUCUAGGCCCGUGAAGUUGCAAAUGAACUUUGUGCGAGUACGAAGGCAUCAAGGAAUCCUAUUGUUUUGCUUGAAACUUCUUCAGGCCCCAUCCAGACAGCAAUUAUAGAUACAUCCACUGUUUCUGAUGCAUACUUCAAGAUGCUUACAAUAUUUAUUCUUCUUCCUGUGAACGAGCUCAUGACGAGUUCCUUGUGAUAAGAGACGCAAAAGAGGAGUGUGAAAGUUCAUUUAUGGAAGGCAAAACCCUCUUUAUUGACUCCAACAUCCCUAUUUAUUAUAAUCUUCAUUGCAGCCCUUGAUGUUGCUAAAGAUAGGAGAAAGCAUUGAUCACUAUCUUCUCCUCCUAGAGUUGUCAUUCUUGUGCGGAUGGAAAUUAUAUCAUUUAAGUUCCAAGUUCUACUGGCAGAGUUUUUACUGUGUGUGAUAAUCUUCUUGUUUUGUUCUUAAUUGCAAGAUCUUUAAGUUUGCUAAAUUGAUUGAGGACUUGAUUAAGUUCCUUAAUUGUAUAUAUAUAUAUAUAUAUACAUGCUUACUCAAUAAAGUUGUACGUGGCAUUA